CACCGAAGCCUGUGGUUAUUUGAUCACCAGGCAAUGUGGUGUUUAGGUCGUUCCGCAGAGGCACUGCUCCACCCUAAGUCCAACAAUGAGUACGGUGUUAUGGACAUGGCCCAUUGAGGGUGAAAGGCCCGUGGGGGUGGAGAUCAGGUGUGCCAGUGCUACUCUGGGGAGACCUUUGAGUCGGGUUGUUUGUGAAUGCAGCCCAAAGCGGGUGGUAGACUCCAUCCAAGGCUAAAUACAACACGAGUCCGAUAGCGAACAAGUACCGUGAGGGAAAGUUGAAAAGUACUCUGAAGAGAGAGUAAACAGUGCGUGAAGCCGCUCAGAGGUAAACGGAUGGAGUUGAACUGUGAGUUCCGAGGGUUCAGCUGGUAACUUUAAUUGAGCUGGGUCAAAUUUGUUGGGCUGUGAGGUAUACGAUUCGUAUGUCCACUCGCUUAGAGUGGGUGCGUGAUUCUCUCUUUUUGAGUUGAUGUGCGCCUCUGUCGCCCCCGAACAUAAUUACCAGUGCACUCCCUCGGGACGGUCACCACGACCGGCAUUAUCGUCUGUCUAUUGCGGUCAAACCGGGCGUGCUUAGUCCUUGUGGCUUUGUGCGUUCGGGAUGGCAGAUAGCUCGUUGGUUUGCUUGCAGACCUCUGGGUGAAAUAGCUGGCCGCAAUCGGAUUGUGCGUUGUGCCGGGGACGGCGGCUUGAGGUGUGCGUGCGUGCUAGUCUGCUGGCGUAUCCGUGUCAGGUUGCUCAGUUGCUCACCUAGUGGGCCAAGCGGCGACUGGGAUGCGUUCAGUGGGCUUUCGCCUGCGAUGCAUCGUAAAAGGGCCGAUAGUCAGUGGUGUUGCGGUAGACUAUCCAUCCGACCCGUCUUGAAACACGGACCAAGGAGAAUAACAUGUGCGCGAGUCAUUGGGCGUAACGAAACCCAAAGGCGCAGUGAAAGUAAAGGUUUGACUUGUUCAGACUGAGGUGUGAUC
rnacentral:rRNA from 1 species